GGAGAGGUGGCCGAGUGGCUGAAGGCGCACGCCUGCUAAGCGUGUUUGGGGAAACUCAACGAGGGUUCGAAUCCCUCCCUCUCCGCCA
rnacentral:tRNA from 2 species